AACCAUUGUCAUUUUCAUCUUUUCACCAUCCCAUUUAAAAGAAAAAUAUAAGGAAAAAGCUUUGAAAGCGUUCAAGCAUUCAACCAUGAUUUAGUAGGGUCCUUAUCCCAACGGGCAACUUCUCUCGUCGCAAUGUCAGUCGACAGUGAGCCAUGUCACGAUGUCGAGUGGCCUGAGAUCACGACGUGAUAUACUAUUUUGGCAAUGUCCCGACAUGGAAUAGAUGAUGUCACGACCUCGACCUUAAACUUUUAAAACUUUGUAAUUUGGUCAUAUUUCGUGCCCAGAUUGUCAAAAGAGCUUUCGUAAGCUCGAUUAAGACUCAAAAUGAUGUAUUAUUGUAAUGUAAUCAUGAUUUAUGUUUGAACACAUGUGAAAAUGGUUAUUAUAUUAUGAAUCUGUGUUUAGUUGCUCCAGCAACAAAUAUAACAUCCUGUAGCUCGGACCUGACGGCUAUGUCAGGCAAGGGGUGUUACAUUAUAAAAGCUUCCAACUGAGUCUUACUUCAAUUGCCAUUAGUAUUGGCACUGUUACUAGUGCAAGAGGGCAUGAAUUCGAGUAUGUUGAAACGUGUUUAUUUUUCUAUUUAAAAGUUAGAUAUGCAUUGUAUAUAUACAAAAAUGACAUUAUAAAA